GUGGAUUAGAUACCCUGGUAGUCCACGCCCUAAACUAUGUCAACUGGUUGUCGGGGGAUUAACUCCCUUGGUAACGAAGCUAACGCGUGAAGUUGACCGCCUGGGGAGUACGGCCGCAAGGUUAAAACUCAAAGGAAUUGACGGGGACCCGCACUAGCGGUGGAUUAUGUGGAUUAAUUCGAUGCAACGCGAAAAACCUUACCUACCCUUGACAUGUACGGAAUCCUUCAGAGAUGGAGGAGUGCCCGAAAGGGAACCGUAACACAGGUGCUGCAUGGUUGUCGUCAACU
rnacentral:rRNA from 1 species